rnacentral:lncRNA from 1 species
AGCCCUCUUUCUAGGUACAAUCCUUCUACCUGCUCUAGUAUUGAUAAAAUUUGUAGGAGACAUGUUUAUCAUCUUCCCUUUCAAAAGAGUACCCAGUUUAACAUUAUGGAGUUACUUAUGAUGUCUCUAUCAUAUUUACCUUUGAAUGCUUCUCUUGACUCAUUUGAAAGUCACCACUUGUCUUUUCUUCAGGAAUGCUUCAGCGGCCUCUGUUUCAUUAAAUGUCCUAUUUUUCUCUUGCUGGGCUUUCCCAGAGAGGAAGCCCAUAGUAAGUGGACGGUCCCCAGAAAGAGUGUCUCCUGCCACAAAGAUUUUGUCCGCUGAGUGUUCUGAGUCUCGAUGUGUUUCCAUAGAGAGCAAUCCUGAAGCAACUGGUGUAAGAAAGACACUGGGAAGGUCUUCUGGGCAAAGGAACCAACCUUUAUUAAGGGAAACAAGGUGAGGUCUUAGAUCGUAUUGGACAGAAAAUAGAGCCAUCCUUGUUUCUCUGAAAGAUUGGUUUCUUUGCCCAGAAGGCCUUCCCAGUCUCUCUCUUACACCAAAAUGUUGGUUUCUUUGCCCAGAAGGCCUUCCCAGUCUCUUUCUUACACCAAAAUGUUCCCAGAGAGUUUCUCCUGCCACAAGUGUCUUUUCCUCUGGAUGUUCUGAGAGUACAUGUGUUUCCCCAGAGAGUGAGCUUGUAGUAACUGGAAGGUUGUCAGAGAGUGUGUCUCCCCGCAUAAGUAUCUCAUCCACAGAGUAUUCUGAUGCUAGAUGUGCUUCCCCAGAGAGUAAGCCUGUAGUAAGUGAAAGUUUCUCAGAAAGACUGUCUCCUCCAUCCACAAGUGUCUUGUCUUCUGAGUGUUCAGAGAUUCAAUGUGCUUCAAUAGAGAGCAAGGCUACAGUAACUAGAGUGUUUCCAGAAAGAUUGUCUCCCACCACAAAUAUCUUUUCCUCUCUGGAUUAUAUAGUUGUGUUGAUUUUUUCAUUCCUAAAACACAAAAUACCAUUCGUCACAUGGCAUGACUCUCAGGAAGCAGAGGGAGAGGGAGGGAUAUAUGGGAUACUGUGAUGUAAGAAACAGAAAACAGCAUUGAACAUUUUUAAAUGAGGGCAAGAAUUUAAAGAGCAAUAAUAAAAAGGUGGAAAGGAAAAGAAAGCAAAAAAGAUUUUGUCGUCCAGAGGGAUUACUUCCAUCUCAGCAUCCAGGCUUGGCUUGAGAUCUCCUGAACUGAGAGAGGAGCCUUUGGAUGGCUCUGCCCACUUAUCUUCAAGUCUGGCAUCUGCUUGUCUGUCUUUGUGUUUGUAAGCA